AGUAACGCGUGGAUAAUCUGCCUCACACUGGGGGAUAACAGUUAGAAAUGACUGCUAAUACCGCAUGAAGCAGGGGCCCCGCAUGGGGAUAUUUGCUAAAGAUUCAUCGCUGAUAGAUAGGCAUGCGUUCCAUUAGGCAGUUGGCGGGGUAACGGCCCACCAAACCGACGAUGGAUAGGGGUUCUGAGAGGAAGGUCCCCCACAUUGGUACUGAGACACGGACCAA
rnacentral:rRNA from 1 species